AUUGAACGCUGGCGGAAUGCUUUACACAUGCAAGUCGAACGGCAGCACGGGGGCAACCCUGGUGGCGAGUGGCGAACGGGUGAGUAAAGCAUCGGAACGUGCCCUGGAGUGGGGGAUAACGUAGCGAAAGUUACGCUAAUACCGCAUAUUCUGUGAGCAGGAAAGCAGGGGAUCGCAAGACCUUGCGCUGAUUGAGCGGCCGAUGUCAGAUUAGCUAGUUGGUGAGGUAAAGGCUCACCAAGGCGACGAUCUGUAGCGGGUCUGAGAGGAUGAUCCGCCACACUGGAACUGAGACACGGUCCAGACUCCUACGGGAGGCAGCAGUGGGGAAUUUUGGACAAUGGGGGCAACCCUGAUCCAGCCAUGCCGCGUGAGUGAAGAAGGCCUCGG
rnacentral:rRNA from 1 species